UAACGGCAUGAAAGUUUUUUUUUUUUUUUUUUUUUUUUUUUUUUCCAUUU
rnacentral:ribozyme from 1 species